rnacentral:rRNA from 1 species
UGAAGACCUUACCCGAUUAGCUGAGAGGUGGUGCAGUGGCCGUCGUCAGUUCGUACUGUGAAGCAUCCUGUUAAGUCAGGCAACGAGCGAGACCCACGUCCACAGUUGCCAGCAUACCCUCCGGGGUGAUGGGUACACUGUGGAGACCGCCGCUGCUAAAGCGGAGGAGGAGUGGGCAACGGUAGGUCAGUAUGCCCCGAAUCUCCCGGGCUACACGCGGGCUACAAUGGUUGGUACAAUGGGCAUCUACCCCGAAAGGGGAAGGAAAUCUCUUAAAGCCAAUCGUAGUUCGGAUUGAGGGCUGCAACUCGCCCUCAUGAAGCUGGAAUCCGUAGUAAUCGCGUUUCAACAGAACGCGGUGAAUACGUCCCUGCUCCUU